rnacentral:rRNA from 1 species
CUACGAGAUGCAGCAGUGAGGAAUAUUGGGCAAUGGGCGAAAGCCUGACCCAGCAACGCCGCGUGGAGGAUGAAUGUCGUAAGAUUGUAAACUCCUGUUAGAGGGGAAGAAUAAUUCCGAUCAAAUCGGAACUUGACUGUACCCUCAGAGAAAGCUCCGGCUAACUACGUGCCAGCAGCCGCGGUAAUACGUAGGGAGCGAGCGUUGUCCGGAUUUACUGGGUGUAAAGGGCGCGCAGGCGGGUUGGCAAGUCAGAGGUGAAAUCCUACAGCUUAACUGUAGAACUGCCUUUGAUACUGCUGAUCUUGAGUAUGGAAGAGAGAGACGGAAUUCCAGGUGUAGUGGUGAAAUACGUAGAUAUCUGGAAGAACACCAGUUGCGAAGGCGGUCUCUUGGUCCAAUACUGACGCUGAGGCGCGAAAGCGUGGGUAGCAAACAGGAUUAGAUACCCGUGUAGUC